rnacentral:rRNA from 1 species
UACGUAGGGUGCAAGCGUUGUCCGGAAUUAUUGGGCGUAAAGAGCUCGUAGGCGGUCUGUCGCGUCUGCUGUGAAAACUCAGGGCUUAACCCUGAGCUUGCAGUGGGUACGGGCAGACUAGAGUGCGGUAGGGGAGACUGGAAUUCCUGGUGUAGCGGUGAAAUGCGCAGAUAUCAGGAGGAACACCGGUGGCGAAGGCGGGGUCUCUGGGCCGUAAC